rnacentral:rRNA from 1 species
CUUGCGGGGCGGGCCUACACAUGCAAGUCGAGCGGCAGCGGAAGUAGCUUGCUACUUUGCCGGCGAGCGGCGGACGGGUGAGUAAUGUCUGGGAAACUGCCUGAUGGAGGGGGAUAACUACUGGAAACGGUAGCUAAUACCGCAUAACGUCGCAAGACCAAAGAGGGGGACCUUCGGGCCUCUUGCCAUCAGAUGUGCCCAGAUGGGAUUAGCUAGUAGGUGGGGUAACGGCUCACCUAGGCGACGAUCCCUAGCUGGUCUGAGAGGAUGACCAGCCACACUGGAACUGAGACACGGUCCAGACUCCUACGGGAGGCAGCAGUGGGGAAUAUUGCACAAUGGGCGCAAGCCUGAUGCAGCCAUGCCGCGUGUAUGAAGAAGGCCUUCGGGUUGUAAAGUACUUUCAGCGGGGAGGAAGGUGUUGAGGUUAAUAACCUCAGCAAUUGACGUUACCCGCAGAAGAAGCACCGGCUAACUCCGUGCCAGCAGCCGCGGUAAUACGGAGGGUGCAAGCGUUAAUCGGAAUUACUGGGCGUAAAGCGCACGCAGGCGGUCUGUCAAGUCAGAUGUGAAAUCCCCGGGCUCAACCUGGGAACUGCAUUCGAAACUGGCAGGCUAGAGUCUUGUAGAGGGGGGUAGAAUUCCAGGUGUAGCGGUGAAAUGCGUAGAGAUCUGGAGGAAUACCGGUGGCGAAGGCGGCCCCCUGGACAAAGACUGACGCUCAGGUGCGAAAGCGUGGGGAGCAAACAAGAUUAGAUACCCUGGUAGUCCACGCCGUAAAACGAUGUCGACUUGGAGGUUGUGCCCUUGAGGCGUGGCUUCCGGAGCUAACGCGUUAAGUCGACCGCCUGGGGAGUACGGCCGCAAGGUUAAAACUCAAAUGAAUUGACGGGGGGCCCGCACAGCGGUGGAGCAUGUGGUUUAUUCGAUGCACGCGAAGAACCUUACCUACUCUUGACAUCCAGAGAACUUUCCAGAGAUGGAUUGGUGCCUUCGGAACUCUGAGACAGGUGCUGCAUGGCUGUCGUCAGCUCGUGUGUGAAAUGUGGAUUAAGUCCGCAACGAGCGCAACCCUUAAUCUUGGUGGCCAGCGAUCCGGCGGGACUCAAAGGAGACUGGCAGUGAUAAACCUGGAGACGUGGGAUUGACGUCAGUCAUCUGGCCUAGAGUAGCUACACACGGUGCUCA